rnacentral:rRNA from 1 species
UACAGAGGGUGCAAGCGUUGUUCGGAAUCAUUGGGCGUAAAGGGCGUGUAGGCGGUUUGUUAAGUCAUGUGUGAAAUCCCUCGGCUUAACCGGGGAACUGCGUCUGAUACUGGAUGGCUUGAGAUUGGGAGAGGGAUGCGGAAUUCCAGGUGUAGCGGUGAAAUGCGUAGAUAUCUGGAGGAACACCGGUGGCGAAGGCGGCAUCCUGGACCAACACUGACGCUGAGUGAGCGAAAAGCCAGGGGAGCAAACGGG